UCGAAUUCUAAAAUGUCUGCAUUACAGUCGAAUGGAUUGGGGUUUGAUCCGAAUAUGGGUUCUCCCUGUGUUAGUAGAGUGCAGAGCUUGAACUACCUGGCGAGCUUGAUUGGUGAGGAUCAACAGAUCAGGGCACAAAGUACGGGUCUUGUGUUGGAUUCGGAUGAUUUUAGUUCUUCUGCUAAUGUAUCAAGUUCAAUAUUUAAUAUGUCGAAUCCAGAUUUUGAUAUGUCCAAAUCUACUCUGAAUGGAUUGAAUAGAACUUUGAGUGCAGAUGCCAUAACAAGUUUGAAUGAUCGUGGUCUGCAGAUCAAGACUGGAGGUAUUGGGCUUGUUUUCGAGUCAAAUGCAUUGAGUUCUUCAGCAAAUUUUACAAGUUCAUGUUUGAGUGUGUGGAAUCCGGAUUUCCAUUUGUCCAAAUCCAAUCAGAAUGGAUUGAGUAGAACUUCGAGCCUGGAUGUUAUAUCAAACUUGAAUGAUCAGGGUAAGAAUGUGGGAAUUGAUCUUAAUUUAACUGGUGUAAGUUCUUCAGCUGCCACCAGUUCAAGUGUGUGGAAUUUGGAUAGUAAUAGGUCCAGAUCCAAUCAGACUGGAUUGAACAGGGCACUGAGUCUGGAUGCUUUAACAAACUUGAAUGAUCAGGCUCAGCAGAUCAAGACUGAAAAUAGUGGGCUUGUUCCCAAUUCAAAUGGUUCUAGUUCUUUUGCAAAUGCAUCAAGUUCAACUUUUGGGGGAUGGAAUUUUGAUUUUGGAGGAUUUGGAUCUGCUGUUGAAAUGUCAAAUUCUAGUUCCAAUGUUGGUGGAUUUAAUUCAAACAUCAAUGCUGUUGGCUCAAGUGCAGAUGUGGAUGAUCAUCACAACGACAAUGAUGAAGAUGAGGAUGGAUGGGAGUUCAAGG
rnacentral:misc_RNA from 1 species